AAGAAAUUAGUUUAAAAAAACAUUAAUAUGUCAAAUUAAAAACACCCUUAGGUAUUUCUUU
rnacentral:tRNA from 1 species